rnacentral:rRNA from 1 species
CCUACGGGGGGCAGCAGUGGGGAAUAUUGCACAAUGGGGGAAACCCUGAUGCAGCAACGCCGCGUGCGUGAGGAAGGAUUUCGGUAUGUAAAGCUCUAUUAGCAGGGAAUAGAAUAGCAGGUACCUGAUAAAGAAGCAACGGCUAACUACGUGCAAGCAGCCGAGGUAAUACGUAGGGGGCAAGCGUUUUCCGGAUGUACUGGGUGUAAAGGGAGCGUAGACGGAAAGCUAAGUCAGAAGUGAAAGCCCAAGGCUCAACCAUGGGACUGCUUUUGAAACUGUCAAACUAGAGUACAGGAGAGGUAAGAGGAAUGCCUAGUGUAGCGGUGAAAUGCGUAGAGAUUAGGAGGAACACCAGUGGCGAAGGCGGCUUACUGGACCGAAACUGACGUUGAGGCUCGAAAGCGUGGGGAGCAAACAGGAUUAGAUACCCUUGUAGUC